CCCUCACAGAGCAGACAGUUUCUCAGGUGCUGCAGUCGGCGAAGAGCAGAUCAAGUGGUCGUUAUUGCGCUAACGCGGCCCCCCCCCGGACCCCCCCUGCACCCCAAAAAAACACACCGUGCCCCCACUGCUGUGUGCUGCUUCGUCUCUACCUGUGCCAUUCCCCCCCCCCGGUGACGCACACGUGGGGCGAUGGGGACACGGUGACACCACACACGUGGGGGGGCUCAGUGCCAUCCCCACCCCCCCCAAAAUAGCAGUCCAGGCUCAAACCUCGUCUGUUUAUUGGGGCAAAGCGGGGUGGGGGACGGACAGACAGACGUGGGGAGGGUGACGGCUGCUGUCCCCCCCCCGCAACAAAAAACAACAACAACAAAACACCAAAAACUGUUCCCCCCCCCCGGCCUGCUAUUGCUUUGCUUAUAUCACAGUAUUGACUUG
rnacentral:lncRNA from 1 species